GCGGAGGGAUCAUUACAGAGUUCUAAAAGACUCCCAAAACCAUUGUGAACGUACCCGUCAGCGUUGCCUCGGCGGGCGGCCCCUCCCUGGGGCCGCUGCCUCCCUCGGGGGGUGCCCGCCGGCGUACCAAAACUCUUUUGUAUUUUAGUGGCCUCUCUGAGAAAACAAGCAAAUAAGUUAAAACUUUCAACAACGGAUCUCUUGGUUCUGGCAUCGAUGAAGAACGCAGCGAAAUGCGAUAAGUAAUGUGAAUUGCAGAAUUCAGUGAAUCAUCGAAUCUUUGAACGCACAUUGCGCCCGCCAGUACUCUGGCGGGCAUGCCUGUUCGAGCGUCAUUUCAACCCUCAAGCCCUGCUUGGUGUUGGGGUCCUACGGCUGCCGUAGGCCCUGAAAGCUAGUGGCGGGCUCGCUAUAACUCCGAGCGUAGUAGUAAAAUAUCUCGCUAGGGAGGUGUCGCGGGUUCCGGCCGUGAAAGCCCAUCUUUUACACAAGGUGACCUCGG
rnacentral:rRNA from 1 species